UCUGGAAUGUGUAUAGGGAUUGGACGUGUUGGGGGAUACCCCUCGGUCUCAUUUCUUGCUGGGUAUAUAUUACAAAAAGCCACACAUUCGCGACUGGUGGUAUCAUUCAUUUGCAGUGGAGUUUAUCACUGAGUCUCUGCGAAUAUUGCUGCCAGACCCGGGCUUCGGCCUACGCACCACUGAGUGUUUCUUUUGAAGUUCUAGAAAUGGACGUUUUCAGGCUCUUUGUCCUGACACCGAUCUCGGUCAAACUUCUUCUGGCAACUGUGUUCUUGUUCUUUUUCUAUGACUGGUGGCGCCAUCAGUAUUUUCAGAGGCGUGGCAUACCGGUAGCUGACUACUUUCCAGUCGUUGGAAGCAUUAUGUUUCUGCGA